GAUGAACGCUGGCGGCGUGCCUAAUACAUGCGAGUCGAGCGAACGGACGAGAAGCUUGCUUCUCUGAUGUUAGCGGCGGACGGGUGGGUAACACGUGGAUAACCUACCUAUAAGACUGGGAUAACUUCGGGAAACCGGAGCUAAUACCGGAUAAUAUUUUGAACCGCAUGGUUCAAAAGUGAAAGACGGUCUUGCUGUCACUUAUAGAUGGAUCCGCGCUGCAUUAGCUAGUUGGUAAGGUAACGGCUUACCAAGGCAACGAUGCAUAGCCGACCUGAGAGGGUGAUCGGCCACACUGGAACUGAGACACGGUCCAGACUCCUACGGGAGGCAGCAGUAGGGAAUCUUCCGCAAUGGGCGAAAGCCUGACGGAGCAACGCCGCGUGAGUGAUGAAGGUCUUCGGAUCGUAAAACUCUGUUAUUAGGGAAGAACAUAUGUGUAAGUAACUGUGCACAUCUUGACGGUACCUAAUCAGAAAGCCACGGCUAACUACGUG
rnacentral:rRNA from 1 species